UACGUAGGGGGCAAGCGUUGUCAGGAAAUAUUGGGCGUAAAGCGAGCGCAGGCGGUCACUUAAGUAUGAUGUGAAAGCGCACGGCUCAACCGUGGAGGGUCAUUGGAAACUGGGGGACUUGAGUGCAGAAGAGGAAAGUGGAAUUCCACGUGUAGCGGUGAAAUGCGUAGAGAUGUGGAGGAACACCAGUGGCGAAGGCGACUUUCUGGUCUGUAACUGACGCUGAGGCGCGAAAGCGUGGGGAGCAAACAGG
rnacentral:misc_RNA from 1 species